UAAGGGCGCACGGUGGAUGCCUUGGCACUAGAAGCCGAUGAAGGACGUUACUAACGACGAUAUGCUUUGGGGAGCUGUAAGUAAGCUUUGAUCCAGAGAUUUCCGAAUGGGGAAACCCAGCAUGAGUUAUGUCAUGUUAUCGAUAUGUGAAUACAUAGCAUAUCAGAAGGCACACCCGGAGAACUGAAACAUCUUAGUACCCGGAGGAAGAGAAAGAAAAUUCGA
rnacentral:rRNA from 1 species